CCUACGGGAGGCAGCAGUGGGGAAUAUUGCACAAUGGGCGCAAGCCUGAUGCAGCCAUGCCGCGUGUGUGAAGAAGGCCUUCGGGUUGUAAAGCACUUUCAGCGGGGAGGAAGGCGGUGAGGUUAAUAACCUCAUCGAUUGACGUUACCCGCAGAAGAAGCACCGGCUAACUCCGUGCCAGCAGCCGCGGUAAUACGGAGGGUGCAAGCGUUAAUCGGAAUUACUGGGCGUAAAGCGCACGCAGGCGGUCUGUCAAGUCGGAUGUGAAAUCCCCGGGCUCAACCUGGGAACUGCAUUCGAAACUGGCAGGCUAGAGUCUUGUAGAGGGGGGUAGAAUUCCAGGUGUAGCGGUGAAAUGCGCAGAGAUCUGGAGGAAUACCGGUGGCGAAGGCGGCCCCCUGGACAAAGACUGACGCUCAGGUGCGAAAGCGUGGGGAGCAAACAGGAUUAGAUACCCGUGUAGUC
rnacentral:rRNA from 1 species